rnacentral:lncRNA from 1 species
CUCCUCCUCCGCCACCCUCAACAACCUCAGAUCAAGCCACACAGCUCCUCCUCCUUCCUGCGAAUUUCCGCCGUAACGAAUCCGGACCAAAAUAAGAAAUCAGUCGCCACUCCUCCGGCAGCCGCUUCCCCCGUCGCCACACCCGUCACUACACCCGGAUCAGGAAAAUGGUCGGUGAGCACCUGGAAAACAAAGAAAGCUCUGCAACUACCUACGUACCCCGACGUCAAAGAUCUGGAAUCUGUGCUCGGCACCAUCGAAACCUUCCCGCCUAUUGUCUUCGCCGGUGAAGCUCGUCAUCUCGAGGAGAAACUUGCAGAGGCUGCUAUGGGUAGAGCGUUUCUUCUACAGGGAGGUGACUGCGCUGAGAGCUUCAAGGAGUUCAACGCCAACAACAUCAGGGACACUUUCCGUGUUCUCCUCCAGAUGGGCGCCGUCCUCACCUUUGGAGGCCAGAUGCCCGUUAUUAAAGUAAAUAAUUAACCAAUUAACCAAUUAAGUAAGUAUACAAGCACAUUGUAGACUUACGACGGUGUUGUUCUUUCUUUCUAGGUGGGUAGGAUGGCCGGUCAAUUUGCCAAGCCAAGAUCGGACGGGAUGGAAGAGAUUAACGGUGUGAAGCUACCGAGCUACAGAGGGGACAAUGUAAACGGAGAUGCUUUCACCGAAAAGUCGAGAGUCCCAGAUCCACAGAGAAUGAUUAAAGCGUACUCCCAAUCGGCCGCCACCUUGAAUCUUCUCAGAGCGUUUGCCACCGGUGGGUACGCCGGAAUGCAAAGAGUGACCCAAUGGAACCUUGACUUCACCGAGAACAGCGAGCAAGGUGACAGGUACAAGGAGUUAGCACAUAGAGUGGACGAAGCUUUGGGAUUUAUGUCUGCAGCUGGACUUACAG